rnacentral:rRNA from 1 species
AGCAGCCGCGGUAAUUCCAGCUCCAAUAGCGUAUAUUAAAGUUGUUGCAGUUAAAAAGCUCGUAGUUGAAUUUUAGGCCUGGCCGGGCGGUCCGUCUUUGGCGAGUACUGUCUGUUGUCGGGUCUCCCUUCUGGUGAACCAAUAUGUCCUUUAUUGGGUGUGCUGGGGAGCCAGGACCAUUACCUUGAAAAAAUUAGAGUGUUUAAAGCAGGCUUUUGCUUGAAUAGAUUAGCAUGGAAUAAUAGAAUAGGACGUUGUGGUUCUAUUUUGUUGGUUUCUAGGACCGCCGUAAUGAUUAAUAGGGAUAGUUGGGGGCAUUAGUAUUCAAUUGUCAGAGGUGAAAUUCUUGGAUUUAUUGAAGACUAACUAUUGCGAAAGCAUUUGCCAAGGAUGUUUUCAUUAAUCAAGAACGAGAGUUAGGGGAUCGAAGACGAUCAGAUACCGUCGUAGUCUUAACCAUAAACUAUGCCGACUAGGAAUCGGGCGACGUUAUUUUAAUGACUCGCUCGGCGCCUUAUGG